GACGAACGCUGGCGGCGUGCUUAACACAUGCAAGUCGAACGGAAAGGCCCUGCUUUUGUGGGGUGCUCGAGUGGCGAAGGGGUGAGUAACGUGUGACUAACCUGCCCUUGACUUUGGUAUAACUUCAGGAAACUGGGGCUAAUCCCGGAUAGGAGCUCCUGCUGCUGGGUGGGGGUUGGAAAGUUUCGGCGGUUGGUGAUGGACUCGCGGCUUUUCAGCUUGUUGGUGGGGUAGUGGCUUACCAAGGCUUUGACGGGUAGCCGGCCUGAGAGGGUGACCGGCCACAUUGGGACUGAGAUACGGCCCAGACUCCUACGGGAGUCAGCAGUGGGGAAUAGUGCACAAUGGGCGGAAGCCUGAUGCAGCAACGCCGCGUGCGGGAUGACGGCCUUCGGGUUGUAAACCGCUUUCGCCUGUGACGAAGCGUGAGUGACGGUAAUGGGUAAAGAAGCACCGGCUAACUACGUG
rnacentral:rRNA from 1 species